CCCCUUUCCCUGGAGGAAGAGACUAGGGGUGAUAGUGUCAGUCCUGGAGCUCUAUUCCUUCAAGUCUGCCUCUAAAGCCAUUUCCUCCAUAGAAUCUUUCCUGGUACGUUUAAUCUCCCAGGGAGCCACUUACUCUCUUUGACCUUCCCAAUCCAAGUUGCGGAGAACUUACCUAUUCAGUGGACAAGCCUGACUUUUUCAGAACGAGAUGGAGAAGCAGAUUGAGAAUCCUCAGGGAAGAGCCCUGCCCGUCACCAUGGACUCCAGACCCGAGUCCACAGGGUGACAAGGCUCAGCCACUGCACCACUGGGGUCAGCCCCAGCUCGCCCUCCGCCACCUGUGAAAAAGGGAUUCAAGUAGCGUGCUUGGUGCUCCCCACUUCCCUCCUGCACCUGUGUGGUGGAGGCCGGGCAGCCAGAGACACUUGGGAACCUGCCUUGAAGAACAGUCAGGAGUCAGAGAGAUGAGCAGAGGACCCUGAGCCUGGGAGGCCUUUCCUUGGGACCAAAGGGGGAAAGGUCACCUUUGGGAUCAACCCCAGGACACCAUCUUGAGCAGCACUGACAGCAACUCUUUUGAAAGCUCACACCUGCAGUGCUGGCCCUGUCCCUCCUCAUUUGUUCAUUCAUUCAACACACAGUCUUGGGGUUCCUUCUGUGGGUUGAGCUCCUCUCUGGUAGAGAAGAUUGACAUUCUCUGCCAUGGGGAGAGUGUGCUCACCAGGCGACGCCAUCAUGCCCACUGCCUUCGGGGGCCUCCCAUAUGGUGGGCAGCUCCCUGGAGUGGGUGGACUGGAGCCAGCCCGCCUGCACUUAGCCCACAUCUCCCACUCCUAGCUGGGUCCCCUGGCAGGUUUCUUAACCUUUCUGGGUCUCAGCUGCCUCAUUUGCUACAAGGGGAUGAUAAAAAGAGUGCCCAAGCUGAGGGAGGUUUGGAGCAGAGGUCAGCAAAUUUCUACUGUAAAGAGCCGGUGGUAAAUAUUUCCAGCUUGUGGCCCAGAAGGUCUUUGCCACAGCUACUCUGGAAGCAGUCAUAGAUAUAAAUGAAUGUGCAUGGCUGUGCUCCAAUACAACUUUACUUAUGGACACUGAAAUGUGAGUAUCAUAUAAUUUUCCUGUGUCAUGAAAUCUCAUCCUUUUGAUUUUUUUCAAACCAUUUAAAAAUGUGGGAAUGUUUCUUAGUUUGCAAGCUGUACACAAACAGGUGUGGGGCUGGAUCUGGCUGACCCCUGGUCUAGGGGAUUAAAUGAGUCAGAGCACAUGGCAAGUGCUCAAGAAAGUUUAG
ensembl:lncRNA